UCCUCGGUAGUAUAGUGGUUAGUGUCCUCCGCCUGUCACCCGGGAGACCGGGAUUCGAUUCCCCGUAGGGGAG